GAUGAAUAGUUCGUAUCUGAUAAUUUUGGUGUGUCUGCUUUUGCUGAUAAGCCGCAGUUAUCAGUGUCCACUCGGUGCCACUUCCCAUGUCAGUCUUGGUUCAAAUUUUCCAUCUCAAUUCGAUAAUCAUCCUAAAAUCUGAGCGAUCAAAGAGCUGGCGACUUCCGUGUAGGCAUUGGGGCUAUCAGUGCAGACGGACCAAUUCUUUAUCACUCCUGAAUGUAACGAACAAAAUACAAACAAACUCUUAUAACAAUGGUAAUACAAACGGAAAUAUUCGUUAAAUAUAUUAAGAAGCUUGCAUUGUUUUUAUUAAAUCA